UUAUAGAUAAGCUAAAUAAAGCUAGUGGGUUCAUGCCCCGCAAAUGAUCUUUCUCUUGAUAUUAAAAU
rnacentral:tRNA from 1 species